CCUACGGGGGGCAGCAGUCGAGAAUAAUUCACAAUGGGGGAAACCCUGAUGGUGCAACGCCGCGUGGAGGAUGAAGGUCUUCGGAUUGUAAACUCCUGUCAUUGGGGAGUAAGACCUGGCGGUGAAUAGCCGACAGGGUUGAUAGUACCCAAAGAGGAAGGGACGGCUAACUUCGUGCCAGCAGCCGCGGUAAUACGAAGGUCCCAAGCGUUGUUCGGAAUCACUGGGCGUAAAGGGAGCGUAGGCGGCGUGGUAAGUCAGAUGUGAAAUCCCGGGGCUCAACCCCGGAACUGCAUCCGAUACUGCCAUGCUUGAGGGUUGGAGAGGUAGCUGGAAUUCUCGGUGUAGCAGUGAAAUGCGUGGAUAUCGAGAGGAACACUCGUGGCGAAGGCGAGCUACUGGACAACAUCUGACGCUGAGGCUCGAAGGCUAGGGGAGCAAAAGGGAUUAGAUACCCUAGUAGUC
rnacentral:rRNA from 1 species